rnacentral:rRNA from 1 species
GAUGAACGCUGGCGGCGUGCCUAAUACAUGCAAGUCGAGCGAACAGACGAGGAGCUUGCUCCUCUGACGUUAGCGGCGGACGGGUGAGUAACACGUGGAUAACCUACCUAUAAGACUGGGAUAACUUCGGGAAACCGGAGCUAAUACCGGAUAACAUGUUGAACCGCAUGGUUCAACAGUGAAAGACGGUCUUGCUGUCACUUAUAGAUGGAUCCGCGCCGCAUUAGCUAGUUGGUAAGGUAACGGCUUACCAAGGCAACGAUGCGUAGCCGACCUGAGAGGGGGAUCGGCCAAACUGGAACUGAGAAACGGUCCAGACUCCUAAGGGAGGCAGCAGUAGGGAAACUUCCGCAAUGGGCGAAAGCCUGAAGGAGCAAAGCCGCGGGAGUGAAGAAGGGCUUCGGAUCGUAAAAAUCUGUUAUUAGGGAAGAACAAAUGUGUAAGUAACUAUGCACGUCUUGACGGUACCUAAUCAGAAAGCCACGGCUAACUACGUG